UACGUAGGGGGCUAGCGUUGUCCGGAUUUAUUGGGCGUAAAGCGCGUGUAGGCGGCCAGGUAGGUCCGUUGUGAAAACCCGAGGCUUAACCUCGGGACGCCGACGGAAACCACUUGGCUAGAGUCCGGAAGAGGAGAAUGGAAUUCCUGGUGUAGCGGUGAAAUGCGCAGAUAUCAGGAAGAACACCCGUGGCGAAGGCGGUUCUCUGGGACGGUACUGACGCUGAGACGCGAAAGCGUGGGGAGCGAACAGG
rnacentral:rRNA from 1 species